AUUGAACGCUGGCGGCAGGCCUAACACAUGCAAGUCGAACGGUAACAGGAAGCAGCUUGCUGCUUUGCUGACGAGUGGCGGACGGGUGAGUAAUGUCUGGGAAACUUCCCGAUGGAGGGGGAUAACUACUGGAAACGGUAGCUAAUACCGCAUAACGUCGCAAGACCAAAGAGGGGGACCUUAGGGCCUCUUGCCAUCGGAUGUGCCCAGAUGGGAUUAGCUAGUAGGUGGGGUAACGGCUCACCUAGGCGACGAUCCCUAGCUGGUCUGAGAGGAUGACCAGCCACACUGGAACUGAGACACGGUCCAGACUCCUACGGGAGGCAGCAGUGGGGAAUAUUGCACAAUGGGCGCAAGCCUGAUGCAGCCAUGCCGCGUGUAUGAAGAAGGCCUUCGGGUUGUAAAGUACUUUCAGCGGGGAGGAAGGGAGUAAAGUUAAUACCUUUGCUCAUUGACGUUACCCGCAGAAGAAGCACCGGCUAACUCCGUG
rnacentral:rRNA from 1 species